GGAGGAUCAUCUGUUUCUGGACCAAAGUUGAUCUUAGGUAACUGAAACCAGGAAAAGUUGAAUUGGAGAUAAAGGUCCACACUGGAAACAAGCAAGUGUGCAUCUACAAGAGGACAGAUAAAUAAAAGGUGGAUGGCAUAGAAAAAAGUGGAGUGCUCAACAGUAAAAACAAACGAACUACCAAGGAGUCCCAUAGCUGACACGACUGAAUCUGGAAGAUGGUAUUUGAGUGAAAGAAACCAGACACAGAAGAGUUCAUUCUGUAUGGUACCAUUUCUAUGACGUCUAAGACUGGGCAAAACUAAGAAAACGGCUAUAUCUUCUGUGUCUGGAGAUGAAGGAUCAAGGAACCCAUACUAAUUCUUUGGCUUCACCUCUGACUAAAUACAAUCUUUGGUAGGCUGGCUUUCUCUCUCCCCCCCGCCCUUUCUUUCUAAACUUUAUUGAAUAUUUCUUAUUGUACUGCUAUAGGGAUAUGAUAAAAACCAAAACAGGGGUUCCUGACUGGCUCAGUUGGUAGAGAAUGUAACUUGAUCUCAAAGUUAUGAGUGCAAGCCCCAUGUUGGGCCUAGUGCUUUAAAACAAAACAAAACAAAACAAAACAAAACAAAACAACAACAGAAUAAUCUCAGCUCAGAUGGAGUUCAGUUUCUGGACGGGAGUGACAAACACAAAUGCACACUAUGAGCCAGGGAUGCAGUGAACAGAGCUGGGUUGUGUAAGACAACAGGUGAUCAUUUUCACUCAGCCUUGGUGUCUGGGAGCAAUCAGGGAAUGGUGGGGACUAUGGUAAAGUGGAGAGCCUCUGCUCUUCUCCAGGUCUUCAUACUGGCCAUGCAGGAAAGGAGACCCUGUUUUCCAUACCCUUCUGUUCACAUUUUG